CGCUUUUUGGUUUUUAUAAAAAGUAAAACCUGCCCAAUGAAGAUUUAAUGGCCGCGGUAAUUUGACCGUGCGAAGGUAGCAUAAUCAUUAGUCUAUUAAUUGUAGACUGGAAUGAAAGGUUAAAAUGGAUAAGAUCUGUCUCUUUUAUAAAAAUGAAGUUUAAGUUUUUGUGAAGAUGCAAAAAUUAUAUUAAAAGACGAGAAGACCCUAUUAAGCUUUAUAAAAUUUUUAUUUAGAAAGGUUAGUAAUAAAUGUUUUAUUUGGUUGGGGCGACAAUAAAGAAUAUAUAACCUUUAAAUUAAAAAAUAAAUUAAAUAGAAUUUUGAUCCACAAGAUGUGAUUAUAAGAACAAGUUACUAUAGGGAUAACAGCGUAAUUUUAUUAGAGAGUUCAAAUUGAUGAUAAAGAUUGCGACCUCGAUGUUGAAUUAGGAUACCUUAAGGGUGCAGAAGUUUUUAAAGGUAGACUGUUCGUCUAUAAAAUUCCUACA
rnacentral:rRNA from 1 species